rnacentral:rRNA from 1 species
GACGAACGCUGGCGGCGUGCUUAACACAUGCAAGUCGAACGGAAAGGCCCUGCUUUUGUGGGGUGCUCGAGUGGCGAACGGGUGAGUAACACGUGAGUAACCUGCCCUUGACUUUGGGAUAACUUCAGGAAACUGGGGCUAAUACCGGAUAGGAGCUCCUGCUGCAUGGUGGGGGUUGGAAAGUUUCGGCGGUUGGGGAUGGACUCGCGGCUUAUCAGCUUGUUGGUGGGGUAGUGGCUUACCAAGGCUUUGACGGGUAGCCGGCCUGAGAGGGUGACCGGACACAUUGGGACUGAAAUACGGCCCAGACUACUACGGGAGGCAGCAGUGGGGAAUAUUGCACAAUGGGCGGAAGCCUGAUGCAGCAACGCCGCGUGCGGGAUGACGGCCUUCGGGUUGUAAACCGCUUUCGCCUGUGACGAAGCGUGAGUGACGGUAAUGGGUAAAGAAGCACCGGCUAACUACGUG